UUGAAUGGGAUCUCCAGCCGCCCAUCGAACUGUCUUCCUGGCUCACCUUCCCCUGAGCCAGGCCGGCGGAACGAUAGGCGCGGAUGGGGAUCCGAUUCAAGAAU
rnacentral:ncRNA from 1 species